rnacentral:rRNA from 1 species
UACGGAGGGUGCAAGCGUUAUCCGGAUUCACUGGGCUUAAAGGGCUCGUAGGCGGCUUGUUAAGUCAGUGGUGAAAGCUCGCAGCUUAACUGUGAAACUGCCAUUGAAACUGACAAGCUUGAGUACGAUUGAGGUGGGCGGAAUACAACAUGUAGCGGUGAAAUGCUUAGAUAUGUUGUAGAACACCGAUUGCGAAGGCAGCUCACAAAAUCGCAACUGACGCUGAGGCACGAAAGCGUGGGGAGCAAACAGG